UCUCUCGCGUCUAAGCCCUAGACUUCUCUCUCUGCUCUCUCUCUCUCGCGUCGAAGCCCGCCUUCUCUCUCUGCUCUCUCUCUAUCACGUCUAAGCCCUAGCUUUCUCUCUCUGCUCUCUCUCUAUCACGUCGAAGCCCUAGCUUUCUCUCUCUGCUCUCUCUCUUUAGAUGAAAAAGAUGCGGACAAGAUGAUGUUAUAGAUUCGAUAUAGUCUCCCUAUUCGAGUUAUCUCUCUGGUUCGCCUCUUUGUUCGAGUUAUCUCUCUGGUUCGCCUCUUUGUUCGAGUUCUCUCUCUGGUUUGGACACGAGAAACAACCAUUUGGAGCCACAGUUUCUUCGAAUUUUAGACGGCUAUACACAUCAAUUUGGAGCAAAAAAUUAAGGGUUUCAAAAUUGCAAGGGAAAUUGCAGAUUUGGAAGAACUUAGAAACGUAUCUCUGUUGUCUGAUAAUUAUUAUCAGCAAGACCUUUCAAACUAUUCUUCAAAUGUCACACAACGUUGGGACAUUGGUACUGCUAUUGCACGCUCUAGCUUUCGUGUUAUGGCCAGCAUGAAUCUAUCCACAGAAUUUCAAAUCUAUGGCAAACCCUGGGAGGUCUACAACAACCAUAGUCAGCUCUAAUAUGAUCACCCAUCAACUGCUGAGCAGUUGAAAUGAUCAUGGGGAAGAUAUAUAGUUGUACAGCAGCUAGCUAGCUAACUUCAAAUCCGGAUGUGAAAGAUAUUGGGUACAUAUAGCGGAUAUGCAACACUACCCAACAACUUAGGCUUUUGAUUCAGAAUUUGGACAUCGAAGAAAACCCUAACCACUAAUGGUAACAUGGCUCAAAGAAGAAACCCUAGGUCUGGAAUCCUCCUUUGGAGAUGCGAAGGUGUGCUAGGCGAUUUGCGGAUGGAUGUUGCUGCUAGGU